UCUGUUCUAUAGGCUCGUA
rnacentral:snRNA from 1 species